rnacentral:rRNA from 1 species
UUUAGAGUUUGGGUCUGGCUCAGGAUGAACGCUGGCGGCGUGCUUAACACAUGCAAGUCGAACGAUGAAGCCCAGCUUGCUGGGUGGAUUAGUGGCGAACGGGUGAGUAACACGUGAGUAACCUGCCCCCGACUCUGGGAUAAGCCCGGGAAACUGGGUCUAAUACCGGAUAUUACCUUUGACCGCAUGGUUGUUGGUGGAAAGAUUUAUCGGUGGGGGAUGGACUCGCGGCCUAUCAGCUUGUUGGUGAGGUAAUGGCUCACCAAGGCGACGACGGGUAGCCGGCCUGAGAGGGUGACCGGCCACACUGGGACUGAGACACGGCCCAGACUCCUACGGGAGGCAGCAGUGGGGAAUAUUGCACAAUGGGCGAAAGCCUGAUGCAGCGACGCCGCGUGAGGGAUGACGGCCUUCGGGUUGUAAACCUCUUUCAGUAGGGAAGAAGCGAAAGUGACGGUACCUGCAGAAGAAGCGCCGGCUAACUACGCAG